rnacentral:lncRNA from 1 species
AACAACAUGAGUCUCCCCUUCCUUCUUCCUGGAAAAUCCUCCAUAUUUCUUUGCCGAAUUGUCCUCGCGGGAUAGACGUCCUUCUCAGACUCCCUCUUCUAGCCUCAUCCCCAUAUUUACCAUUUCGGUAAAGUCCGAGGGAGCACUAGCAAUCAUGCGCUCAUAGUAGAAAGAGUUCAAAGUCUUCAAAAAGAUCUUUGUCAUCUCCUUCUCCUCCAAGGGCAGCACUAUCUGAGCUGCCAAUUCCUUCCAUCUCUGGGC